ensembl:lncRNA
GGAAAGCUGCCUGAAGAGGACCACAGAGAUUGGGAUGAGACGUAUCAAGCCCAGGGGCAGCAAAGCUCUCCAGCAGGCAGGGAGAGUGGGACAGAUCCCCCUGCAGCCUCAGGAGCCAGCCCUGCCUGCACCUUGGCCUCAGGCUUUGGGCCUCCAGGGGCGUGGACAGUAAGUUCCUGCUGGUGAGUCCUCCCUUCUGUGGAGACUCCCACAGAGCUAAAGGAAUCAGGUCAAUGAGGACAGCACCAAUCAUGUCCUCCAAGGACGUGGGGCUGGAGCAGAAAGAGAGGGGCCUGAACACCAUCCCCUACCUGGGAAGUGCAGGAGAGAGGCAGAAGACUCGGAAGGUACCUAAGAGAAACACCACUGCCCCUCAGAUCUGAAGGGGACAUUCGAAGCAGUAGUGAGGACCAUGGCUGUCCUCUGCUGGGCUUCCAAAGUGCCAACAUGCCCACCUAUCUCUCCAGCCUUCACCUCCCCACCUGUCCCAGCGCCCUGUGUGUGCUCAGGACCCCUGGAGAUGCUGGGAAGAGCACCCCACACUGUAAUGGGCAGAGCCAGCCACACAAGAAGCCCCCAAUCCCAUGGCUGGAACCCUGAGAAAACGGCACACCCCUCUCGGACACAGGUCCCCACCAACUGGAUUCUCCUGACCUGGCAUCAUCACGUGGGCACCAGGAGUGCUGACCUGGAGUGCGUGCCCACAUGCUUCUUGCUCCUGAGUGGCCAACGAGAGAACAAGUACAGGCUCUACAGAAAAAGUAUUGGUUCCAUGACUCUUGGAGCUCCUGGGUAUAAUUCAUUCUCAUUAACAGGUGGGCCAUCUCUGAGGCAGUGUGAUGAACCUUAGGGACCUCCCACCCCUGACAAGCAGGUGCUACCAAGUGACAGGAGGCAGGGGCUGGGUUUGCCCUGGGAACAGGGCCAUCCUCACACUGUGACACCUGCCAUGGGCUCCACAUCCUCACCUCCUGACCCAGAGGUCACUACAGGAAGCGACAUGGAGGUGGCUCCCCCG